rnacentral:rRNA from 1 species
UUGAACGCUGGCGGCAGGCCUCACACAUGCAAGUCGAACGGUAACAGGGAUCAGCUUGCUGAUUCGCUGACGAGUGGCGGACGGGUGAGUAAUGUCUGGGAAACUGCCUGAUGGAGGGGGAUAACUACUGGAAACGGUAGCUAAUACCGCAUAACGUCGCAAGACCAAAGAGGGGGACCUUCGGGCCUCUUGCCAUCGGAUGUGCCCAGAUGGGAUUAGCUAGUAGGUGGGGUAACGGCUCACCUAGGCGACGAUCCCUAGCUGGUCUGAGAGGAUGACCAGCCACACUGGAACUGAGACACGGUCCAGACUCCUACGGGAGGCAGCAGUGGGGAAUAUUGCACAAUGGGCGCAAGCCUGAUGCAGCCAUGCCGCGUGUAUGAAGAAGGCCUUCGGGUUGUAAAGUACUUUCAGCGGGGAGGAAGGGAGUAAAGUUAAUACCUUUGCUCAUUGACGUUACCCGCAGAAGAAGCACCGGCUAACUCCGUG